rnacentral:rRNA from 1 species
UACGGGGGGGGUAAGCGUUGUUCGGAAUUACUGGGCGUAAAGGGCUCGUAGGCGGCCAACUAAGUCAGACGUGAAAUCCCUCAGCUUAACUGGGGAACUGCGUCUGAUACUGGAUGGCUUGAAUCCGGGAGAGGGAUGCAGAAUUCCAGGUGUAGCGGUGAAAUGCGUAGAUAUCUGGAGGAAUACCGGUGGCGAAGGCGGCAUCCUGGACCGGCAUUGACGCUGAGGAGCGAAAGCUAGGGGAGCAAACGGG